CAAAAACAUGGCUUCUCGGUGUAAAAAUAGGAGAGGUCUGGCCUGCCCGGUGGAGACAUCUCUAAACGGUCGCAGCUUUCACUGUGCGAAGGUAGCGUAAUAGGUCGUCCUUUAAUUGUGGGAAGGUAUGAAUGGUCGGAUGUUGGAAAGACUUUAUUUUAGACAUAUAUUGAAUUUUACUUUUUAGUGCAAAGGCUGAAAUAGAAUUAUUAGACGAGAAGACCCUGUUGAGCUUGGUAAGACUGGUUCUUGUGUGGAUUAGGUUAUGUUUUUUCGGGGUUGAAAGGAAGGAAUAGGAAUACCUUCCAUGAUGUGAUAAGGAUCCAGUAGGGCUGAUAUGUGGAAGAUAGUUACCACAGGGAUAACAGCGCAAUCUCCCUGAUAAGGCCAUAUUUAAGGGGUGGUUUGCGACCUCGAUGUUGAAUCAGAAUAUCUACCAGGUGUAGCAGUUUGGUAAGUAGGACUGUUCGUCCUUUGAAAUUCUACGUGAUC
rnacentral:rRNA from 1 species